GUGAAGUGCUGUACUCCACAGCGGAUACCAUUUCCUAGACAUUCGUGGUCUGUGGUUCUCCUGACUAUCGUGGAUACUUCUGAAAGUGAAAACAGGUACUGACUUCACGGGCACUCGUUUGCCAGCACCGAGUGGCUUUGGACAUGAGUCUGCACACCUUCAUCUGCACACUUGAAAGCACAUGUCUCAAGAGCAUCUGGUCCUUAAAAUGCUGGAGAGAGGGGAUGCAGAACAAAUAGCAAGAACCUGACACAUAAUAACUGCCCCGCUUUCCAGAAAAAUAAAGGUCUUAUUCCGAAGAGCUCACCGCCUAACCAGAUGCGAUGUGGAAUCAGAUGCGAGAAGAAAUGAUGAAGGAAAAUGCUGGAGCUAAGGGACAAAGGAGUGAGGGGGGAUAGCAGUGAUUUGUUAAGACAGUUGGUGCAAAUACACCUCUGUCAAAUUAGUCUUCAUGUUUCAGGAAAAACAACUAUAGCUGCAUACGUGACUGACUUCCUUCAUGCACUGAUUUUUAAGGGUUUAAUGGGGAUACAGUUGCAGCGGUAGGAACAACUGAGGAGGGAGGGAUAAGGUAGAGGAAAAACAGAGGUGUUUGUAGGGCAGAUAAGUUGAGCACCAAUAUCAGAAGGGAGAGAAAUUAGAGGUUAGUGGGUAGAAGGUGGGAAAAGGGGCAGUCACACAGAGCGCCAGGGUGAAGGGAACGAUGGUGUAAAACCUGGCGCACUGAGAAUGGCCUCACUGAUUGGGACCCAGUUAUCUCUGUUAUACCACCUUCACUGUAGAUAUUCUACAACGGCAAUAUUUGCUCUCUGGUUUUAUGAUUCUCCAAGUGACUGUUGCUGUCACCAGAUAGAUAAUACAAUGUAAGUAAGGAAAGUGUUCACUGGGAAAGUUUGCAUGAGCUUAUUGUUCUUGCUACUGCAUAUGAGCUUCUCCUAAAACUCCUUUCACUAUAUCUGCACACUGAUGUGACCUAAUGAUCUCUGACAGCUCUUUGACUUCCCUGAUGAUGUCACUGAUGUCACUGAGGUGGUUUUACUGAAAUUUGCCCUAUUCAAGCACUGUGGCUAAGGAGCCUAAGCUGUCUCGGUGGGUACCUGUCUACCAGGGAAUUCAUUCCUGUAGCCUCAGAAAAGUGUGAGUUAGAAAAUGUGGUGCAAGGCUUACAGCUGCCAGCCUUUGCCUGAAUAUUAAUAGUUAGUCAUUUAAGGAGUCUUGAGUAAUUUCAGAUUUGCCUGCUCUUUGUUUUGCUGACACAGGUUUUUCUCCUAGAGUUUGUGCGUGCUUCAUACCCUUUAACCUGCAUAUUCCCAGGACACCUUUCUUAAGCAAAAAAAAAAGCUUGUCACCAUUACACAGAAGGGAAAUUAAGGCACAGAAAACCUCAGCAGCUUGCCCAGAAUUGCAUAGAAAAUCUGUAAAAAGAGUAUUACAUUAAAAGCACACCUCUGUAAGUGCAGUGACCUGAUGUGGAAUGCAGUUUAAUUUAAAGAGGUCCAGGUAAAGUAUCUUUUUGCAGGCGAAUCCAUUCAUUGUUACCUGACCCCAUACAGGUGCUUGUAAAACUUGAGCUGUUGGAUUUGGGUAGGCAAGAGUAGUAGAAAUAAUAAUUUGGUGCAUUCAGAUUAUGUUAGAAACUAAUUCCAGCUCCUCUUGUUUUUUUGGUACAUAAGACUAGAGACGUAAAGUUUUUGAUGCAUUCCA